UGACAUUGAUGACAGAACAGAGACGGAACAUAACAAAGACAAAGCUGUAUUGGAAUUUUCGACAACUGACGUUCUAGUAAGCAAGUUGUUUGACCCACGUUUGAAGCCUUCGGUGAAUGAACCGAGUUCAGCCACAAAACGGUGUGUCUGGAGUUCAGCUGGGUGGUUGGUAGGAGCCUGAGACAGGAGUUCUACGAGGCCCUUGACCAUUACAGUCCCAGGCUCAUGGAAAUCUUCAAGGCAAAGAGGGGCCUCACAGGGCAGGUCUUGGCUAACCUGAUGCGACAAAAAAGGCUUCGGAUGUGACAGAAGUCAUAUGCCUUGUCCUCACAGGGCUUCCUGUCAUUCUUGGUGACGAUCCAUCCACCUUCUUCAAGGCCUGCUUUGACAUUGAUGAUGAGGAAGGUUUGUACAAUUAUGUGCCAGUGGGGAUCCUCUGCCAUGAACAGGAAAACAUCACUCCACACACACAGUCCCUUCACCACAAUGCAUCCUCAGUGGGAAUCAUCUUGGAGGGAAACAUUGUGAUGGAUGUUGAGAGCCUGCCCCAGGCCAUGUACAUUGUCUUCGGACUUACCUAUGCACUGCAUCUCAACUAUCCAAAGUACAUGAAGAACACUUUUGAUUUUUUUUUUCAACAGGUACUUCUGAAGGUGGAGGGGAGAGUAUGGGCUCUCCAUACAGGUAUCUGCUCUGUUAUUUUUUUUCACCCUCCCGUUCUUUCUUCUUUCAUUCUCACAAGCUUUUUUGUUUUUCCAUGGACACAUUUGGUAUUUGUAAAUGUUAAGAUGCCAAUGUUCAGCAGGGCUGAGUUUUAUCUUGCCAGUUUGUCAACCAAAUUUGAAGAGGCGCAAUACAAUAUUGUAAUGAUUGGAGGUAAAGAGGAAGAGAUUUUUUUUCUUUUCAUGCCAUCACUGAGGAAACUACAUACUAGAAGCCUAUUACGCCAUGGCUUUGUUUCUUUUCUUGCUGAA